ACGGAGGAUGCAAGCGUUAUCCGGAUUCAUUGGGUUUAAAGGGUGCGCAGGCGGAAUGAUAAGUCAGUGGUGAAAUCCUACGGCUCAACUGUAGAACUGCCAUUGAUACUGUUGUUCUUGAGUACACUUGGAGUGGGCGGAAUGUGUCAUGUAGCGGUGAAAUGCUUAAAUAUGAGGGAGAACACCGAUGGCGAAGGCAGCUCACUAAGUUGUAUCUGACGGUCAGGCACGAAAGCUUGGGGAUCAAACAG
rnacentral:rRNA from 1 species